CGCGUAGGCGGCUGGGAAAGUCAGAUGUGAAAUUCCGGAGCUCAACUCCGGAGCUGCAUUUGAAACUUCUCAGCUAGAGUUCAGUUAGGGAAAACGGAAUUCCACGUGUAGCGGUGAAAUGCGUAGAUAUGUGGAAGAACACCGGUGGUGAAGACGGUUUUCUGGGCUGAUACUGACGCUGAGGCGCGAAAGCAAGGGGAGCAAACA
rnacentral:rRNA from 1 species